rnacentral:lncRNA from 1 species
AAGUUGAUCAACUAGAAACAGUUUACAAAUGAAUCUGGCUUCCAGAUGAGCUAAUUUGGUCUGAAAUUGAAAAUGAACUUUAAAUUCAAUUUGAAUUACUGACAAUUCACACUAUAGUAAAUAACUCUGAGUGUGAGUGUGAGUGAAGUAAAAGCAGCCAUUUGGCUACCAACUGACUAUAGCAGUGGUUCCCAAACCAGUCC